rnacentral:sRNA from 1 species
GAUCAUUGACAUACUGACAAGGCUAAAAAAACAAAGAGAUAACUAACGUAGAGAGGCUACAAGCCCUCUACAAGUGACUAACAAUACAGCUUGCAAGUCUAGACCUAUCGUGCUAGAUGAUGAACCAGCAAAAGCGGUGAAGCCCUCGCAGGGUGAUGAACGCAGAGGCUGGCAACCUCGCCCCUCGCAAAGGGCUUGCAAGCAC